UCGUUAAGCCCGGUAGUAACUGUUUGUAUCUCUACUCACGGGGAUUAACCAUAUCCGUACAGCCCACAGCUCGAGCUCUGCGUCGGUAUUACAACGCCCCCGUGGGAGAUCGUAUCGGAUUAGUGGAUUUCAACCUUCCAUCACUAUGGCUGACGAAAACGAAGUAACUGAGACGACAACAGAAGAUUUGCCCGAGCAGCUGGAAGAAGAGAUCAAGGAAAUUUUCCAAAAAAUCGAUAAGAAUGGCAACGGUUAUAUCGAAGCGUCCGAAUUGGUGCUGGUCUUGAGAGGGCUAGGGCAGAAUCCCACCGACGAAGAGGUGGCCGAGGGGCUCAAGGCCAUGGACA